CUUCCAGUAGCACCUUAGAGACCAACUAAGUUUGUUAUUGGUAUGAGCUUUUGUGUAUCUGAAGAAGUGUGCAUGCACACAAAAGCUCAUACCAAUAACAAACUUCGUUGGUCUCUAAGCUGCUACUGGAAG
rnacentral:miRNA from 1 species